UGAUUUACCAUGAGCGAAUCUAAAGUUAUAAAUAUGUUAGUUUAUCUACGUAAAAUUCAUUCGUUAUCAUUCUACGUUUAGAGAUUCAUCAAUCAUAAUCAUCAUCAUGUACAAAAAUCCAUAUCUCUUUGCAAUAUUAACCUCCGUUUAAAGAGGUUUUCUCUUGGAAUAUACUUUAAUAUCUCUGCCGCCGACUCGUAUUAGAACCCAAAGUGUUUGUGCUCUCUGCGAUGUACCUU
rnacentral:lncRNA from 1 species